rnacentral:rRNA from 1 species
UACGUAGGGGGCUAGCGUUGUCCGGAAUCAUUGGGCGUAAAGAGCGUGUAGGCGGUCCGGUAAGUCCGUUGUGAAAGUCAGGGGCUCAACCCUUGAAUGCCGGCGGAUACUGUCGGGCUAGAGUCCGGAAGAGGCGAGUGGAAUUCCCGGUGUAGCGGUGAAAUGCGUAGAGAUCGGGAGGAACACCAGAGGCGAAAGCGGUUAACUGGGUCUAAACUGACGCUGAGGCGCGAAGGCUAGGGGAGCAAACAGG